rnacentral:lncRNA from 1 species
AGACGUCUCUGUGAAAUAGAAGUAACCACACUGAACCUCAGAGAAGCAUGACUCCUUCGGUCUCUAGUCCCUACUUUUCUCCAGAUGUGGUAGAGUGGCAAAAGACCCGGGAUGUCCACAAGGGAAAUCCAGGAGUUGAGAUUUUCUAGGAUCAGCCACCAUCCUGAUCUUGAACUAAAGCAAUUCCAGGUACCACUAGGAUUUGGUGCUGAUAUUCACAAAACAACUGAGGCCUGAAAAGGGCACAGACUGGCAGGGUUCAGUGACCCGGAGUAAAGAAGGAAACACUUCCCAACUACUCUGGACCUCAGUCUCCCCAUCUCGAAAAUAUCCUCUUAUUUCCUUACCUACCUCCCAAUGUCAGGUUCUGAAGAGCUGAGGAGGAUGUGAAGACCAUUAGGAAGACACUGAACAUCAGUAAUAAAAGAUGCCAUCCUACAGUGGGGACACCACCAACAGCAUCCUCUGAAAUGCUACCCUCCACCAUCCCCUCCCUUGCUAGACCCUCAACCUUUCCUCGCAUGCUUUCAGCCUUAGGCGCAAAGCUUUUCCCCUCCACAGAUCCCCCCACCGCACCCCUCAAGUGGGACUUCAGACCCUUAGAAAGUCCACCCGGCCUUCCUCUUGGCCAGUUCUCGAUCCACCCCCUUAAAGAGAUCCCUCACAGAUUCUCACCCUGCUUCAGCAUUCGCCCCCACCUCCGUGAGUCCCUGCUUGGAUAGCGUUCCCCCGAGUGGCCCGGCCUCAGCAGGUACUCUCCCUAACUUGUCCCCACGUUCCUCAGCACAGUCUCACCACAGCGAGUGCUCCCUCUAACCGGUCCCAAGUCUAACCUCCUUAGCAGAUGCUCCCCUCAGCCGGACCCUCACCCACCAGACGUCCCCCCCCUCACUCAGCAGGUGCCCCAUCGGCUGGGUCGCUUAGCUCCGGGGACUCCCACACAGGUGUAUCCCCUCAACCAGUUCCCGCCUUUUCUUCCCCUGACCCCAUGCCCGUCCUCUUAGCCAGUGGCCCCUCACCGGCGCGGCGGGUUCCUCAGCUGUACCGUCUCCAUGGCGCUGCCAGCAGCCGCCCAGACCCGCUCACUGCUCCAUCCUCCCGCGGACCUCCUGAGCCCGCCCCGCAGACCCUCCCACACUUCCGCUUUCCGCCCCUACCGGAAGCGGCGCGCGGCGCGGGAGCGGGGCGGAGCCACGGCCCUGAUCACGUGGUUCGGGCGUGAGUCUUGUGGCGCGGUGGGGCGCGGACCCGGAACCGCCAAGUGGUGAAGGCGCCUCCAGGCGGUGCCCGCUGGUCUCUAGAGUGUCAGUGGCGCUGUCUUCCUGCGUUACCGGAGCGCACAAAAUACUCGGUCCCCAGGCCGAGAACGCACCUCUACCUGGGUCCUGGGUCCCAUUUCACAGACUGAGAUGCGUGAAGCGCCUCCUUUAGAAGAGCUGACAAUUCUUAGCAAACCAAGUUUUGCGUGAUUUUGGGGAGGCGGCGCUGCCCCAGGAACGCCUGGAGGGCCUGCACCACCAAACUGGACAGCCAUGGGUGUGUAACCUCUUUUUGGGCCUGAGAAACAGACCUUUCUCUCCACUCAGAGCUCCGGCUUCAGCUAUUGUGCUUCCGAAUGCCACUACCAUCAGAUAUGCCAUCUACAGAACUUAACACCUGAGCACCCACCCUUCAGGGCCACCCAUGGGCCCAAAACGGGAUAAAGGAGCCAUUCCCUGACAUAGGAGGAAAACAUUUGCUGAGAAGCUACUGUGUGCCAGACACAAUCUUGGACUUUCACUUAAUCCUCAAAACAGCCCUAGGAAGAAGUACCUACCGUUAACAGAUAAGAAAGCUGAGACCCACGGUUUACACAGCUAAGGAGAGCAAAGGUUUUAACCCAGGACUGUCCUGACUCCACAACAUCAAAGUUGUUGUUUUGUUUUUGGUGUUUUGUAGAAACAGGAUCUCCCUAUUAUUACCCAGGCUGGUCUCAAACUCCUGGGCUGCAGCAGUCCUCCCACCUCGGCCUCCCAGAGUGCUGGGAUUACAGGCAAGAGCCACCACACCUGGCUGAUGAAUAGGAAUUGGGUAAACAUUUUUGAAAAUUAAAUACCAAAUUACCAUUACACAAUGCCAAACAGACCUCCUUUGUCCCCUUCCCAGGAUUUUUCCAGAAGAUGGACUCACAUUAUGAUGGCCCCCUUUUUCCGCAGAGUGUUCCCAAUGAAAAUUUCUGAAAUGAUGGGAAUGUUCUAAAUAUGUGCUGUCCGAAAUAGUAACCAUUAGCCACAUAUGGCUAUUGAGCACUUUAAAUGUGGCUAGCAUAACUGAAAGGCCACAUUUUUAUUUAAAUUUAAAUUUAAAUAGCAAACCGUGGCUAAUCAUAAUAAUAGCUUAAGAGAGAAAUGGUGAGCAGGGUUACUGGGAGAGGUAUUUUCCUAUAAGCUCUGGAUAUACAGUUGACCUGGGAACAACAAGGGUUUGAGCUGCAUGGGUCCACCAAUACAACCCUUGUUUUGUUUUGUUUUGUUUUCAAUAAAUACAGUCAGCCCUCUCUAUCAGAGGGUUCCACAUCCACAAUGAAACAUGGUUGGAAAAUACAGUAUGGGAUGUGAAACCUGUGUAUAGGGUGGGCUGACUUUUCGUUUCCAUAGGUUCUGCAGGGUCAACUAUAGUACAUGAGUAUACUCACAUUUUAGUAUCCUAAUAGAUCCUCAAACCAACACCUGGCAGAAAAUGGGGAACAAUUGCAUAACAGUAUUCAAGGGACUGGGUAUGAUGGCUUGCACCUGUAAUCCCAGCACUUUUGGAGGCCAAGGCAGAACAGGAGUUCGAGACCAGCCUGGGCAAUAUGGUGAAACCCCUUUUCUACAAAAAACUUAGCCAAGCAUGGCAUAUUUGUGUAAUGCCAUUUGCAUGACCCACAUGGUCACCCUGGACCCCGUGGAUCAGGCCCUGCCUGGUGCCACCACCGCCACUUCUGUGCCAGGCCCCCAGUGUGAUGCAAGUUGCAUGAUGCUCUUUGCUGUAGUGCCUUUUAAUGGCAUAGCUUUGGCAGGUUUGGAGAUGUUCAGAAUAGGCAAAUCCUGUGGUGGAUUUGUGGUUGUCUAAGGCCCUGGUGGAAGGGAGCAUAGGUGAAUUGGAGGGGAUGAUUAAAAGGUGUGAGAUUUCAUUUUGGGGUGAUGAAAAUGUUCUAAAAUUGGUUGUAGUAAUGGUUAUACAACUCUGAAUAUACUAAAAGGCAUUGAAUUGUACACUUUCAAUAUGUGAGUUAUAUCUCAAUAAAGCUAUUUUACAAAAAAA